UGGAGAAAAAGGAAGGAAGGAAAGGGGUAAGUUGUUAUUUUAAGUUAGGUAGUCAAGAAAGGCCUCACUGACAAGGUGACAUUUAAGCAAAAGCCUGAAGGAAGAGCCUAUUUGGAAAUUUUUCUUGGAGAAAAAGUUUACAGACCCCUGCUGUAUUGUCACAACGUUACUGUGGUCUGUCUUUGGAUGGAAUGGAGAAGAGCAAGCCACCAAAGUGUACUUAUUUGUUUGUCCAGCCACUCAGUAGAUUUACCUCCUAUCUGAACAUUCUCAAAAUCCCCACCAAGGAGAGAAGUCCAAUGCAAGAGGGAAGACAAGCAUUUCUGAACUAUCAGGAGCUUCCACGAAGGGACACCUCUCGCAAACCUCGUAACUCUGUGAGAUAG
rnacentral:lncRNA from 1 species